rnacentral:lncRNA from 1 species
AAAUCGCGUCCACUAAGUGGUGUCGUCUGCCUGCAAGACCUGCACAGCUCCCAGGCCUAUGGCUUUGGGCACCAGGUGCUGCGCCAGCGUCUGGAAAUGAUUAAUUCCUGGGCACACCUGCUGUGUGCCCAGCCCUGGGGCUGAGGACGGAGCCCUUUCCUGCCAUCAUGGAGCCUGCAUUGCACGGGGGUUCCCAUUCCACCGUGACCUGGCAGGAGAUGUCAGACCGCAGCUGAGGGCCCUGCUGGUUUCCUACGAGGAGGCUGCAGAUGGGAAUGAGGACCUCACGGUCAAGGGCGUGGACACCUCCCGCCUGACAGAUGACACAUUUGUGAGUGGGUCCCCAGAGGUCUGCCCUGGCACCUGACAACCCCGGGAGGCAGGAACAGGUUAGAGCCAACUGUGGAGCUCAUCAGAGAGGUGACUUUCAGUACCAAAAGGGUGUUUUCCAAGGGAAAUCCUGCCGCACAGGGCAAAUGAAAGCAGGUCAGGGCUCACCAGUCACUGCAGAAUCCGCCGGCCCACAUGUCCCUGGUCUUCAGAGGUGGGAACAGCCAGCUGGGAAGGAAUCCACCUGCCCCCAUGGCCUGUGGAUCUGAGGACUCCUCUCCCACCUCCUGUGCCAACCAUUGUUUGGUGAAGGCGCCCUUGCUCCCAGCCCGCUCUCCUCUGACAUUCUUUGGUGAACAUCCCAUCUCCUUUUCUCCAGAACCAGCCGGCUCAGACCACCCACAUAUUUUACAGUUACUGGGCUUCUAUGUUCCACAGAGGGUGCUUGGCUGGGGGGACAGGGGAGGGGACAGAGCCUCAGGCCAGGUGCAGGGAGGACGGUGCUGGCCAUAGGGCUGGGGCAGCCUCAGGUCACACCACCAUUCCAGCACUCUCUGUGUGGCUCCAGGGACUCAGCGUCGCCACCUGGGAGUUGGGAUGGGGGCUCAGGCAGAGGCGCUGGUUCGUUGUCCCACAGAUCAAGCCUCUCUGAGUCCUCGGCUGUCUUGGUGGAGACUCCAAAGGGGACCGAGGAACCGCAGAAGGGACCGCACCUGCCCGGUGGCCAGCAACGGAAGGACGGCAGGGAGCGAACACACUCCAGCCCCUACGGUCUCUCCGCUCUCCCAGCUGAGCUGUCUUCCCCGGAGGCCGGGCUGCAACCCGAGAAGGCGCCGCGCCAUCGGCCCUCACCCUGCUCCGCCUAAGCUGCUGCUUUUCCUCUGCAAAUGCCCUGGGCUGGACGUCAAACCACAGUCAGGUAGGGGCGGCCCAGACCAGGGACCAGCAGCUGGUUCCCUCUGCCUGGUCUCACUUCUAAAGCCACUGGAAGAGGAAACACAUAAAAUGUGACUUUGCAGAGGAAUUCCAAUAAACAAGAUGUGUUUCCAAGUCUUCUGAGGCUGCCGAGACUGAGUAGCUGCGUGUGAGCAGCCACAACUCCUCUGUUGUCCUCCUGCAAAGUGUCCCCGCCCUCCCACUCAGGUCGCGUUCCUCCGGCCGCCCCCGGCUGCUCCCGCCACAGGAGACUGGACGGUGGGCUCUGGCCUUGGGGACCUCCGGCCCUGCCUGCAGCAGGCCCCAGUGUGUGUGGGCGAGAGGGCCGGGCCAGCUGACUCCUGUCUUUCUUUGGGACCACGUCAUCAAGCGGGCUGGAGCCAGAGGCUGGGCCCCUCUGUGUCCCGGGGAUCCUCACCCCCCAGGUCCCCAGUGCUGUCCUUGUCACCACUGAACGGCAGUUUCUCCCCACCCCGUGCUUCAGUUUACCUGUCCGGACCAGGGGUGGCAACCUCUUUUCCAGAACGGGGCAGAAGGUGCCCCCGUGGAUAAGCUGCACCCACCUAUCCCCAGGAGCACAGCCAGCACCUCUCAGGUGCGCCCCUGAGGUGUCUGUGGCACCUGUCUCUUAUCCAUCAUCAUUCUCCCAGGCAGACCCAGGGCGGGGCAGAUGCUGGCUCUGGCACCGCAGGAAGCACAUCUGGUCCAAGGCAUCUCAGAACCUGAGGCUCCGGGGUGUAGAAUGGACUUUGAGUUUCUGGAAGAGACCUUAGGAAACGUUGUGUCUGCAUUUCCAGGUGGCCGGUUGGUGGUGGGGGCGCCUCACUCCUCACCCUGUGCAGCAUCCUCAGCCUCUGCCUGCAUCUCUUGAGUCUGCUCUGGGUCAGCACUGGGGGUGAGGAGGUGAUGAGGGGCAGCGGCAGGGGCCGGGGGUCAAGAGCCCCAGAGGGGAGGCCAGGCCAGGUCCCGGCAGCCCAGGUGAGAUGAGGGCCUCGUGGUGGCCUUGAGGGCUGGAGGUGAGGGAAGGGCCCUGAGCCGGGUGCCACGGCCGACGCCCUGUCCUUUGCCGUGACAGUCUCUGUGCAGUGCAGGCAGCCCCCACCGAAUCCAGGUACAGUGCUCAGUGACAAGCGUAGGGAGAGUGGUCAAAUCGGAGCAGGGGCAGGGGACGUGAGUCAGGCUGAAAAGAAGAAGCUCAGAGCAGGAAGGGCAGAGGGGCCGGGAAGGGCAGGUCUGAAGCUCGGAGUGGGAAGGGCAGACGGGCUGGGAAGAGCAGGUCUGAAGCUCGGAGUGGGAGGGGCAGAGGCGGUGAAGGGUGAGUCCGGAGCAGCCUCUAGUUGCCCAGGUGCUCGGAGAGUGAGGAACCCCCCAGGGAGGGAGGAGCCCCCAACCCACAGGGCUGCAGCCUUGGACACGGCCAAGACCCG